GAAUGGUCAGGAAAGGUCCAUGCAUUCAGCUGUGCCCUAUCAGCGUGGGAGGACUGCAUGAGCUCGGAAAACAUGUCAUCGCAAGUGACUGUGAAUGAUAUCGCUCUCCUGAGGCUGACACAGAAAGAUAAAGCCCGAAUGUUGUAUGAGUGCGACCAAAACCCAGGAUCGUUUGCUGCCAUGCUUUGUGCUGCAAUGAUUCCAGAAUACUUGGUACUGGCUUGGCGUGGUAAAGUGUCCUACCGUGGAGGACGAAAUAAGGCAGCUCUCUCAAGAAACCUUCUGCAAAGCCUUUCAGAGUACCUCCAGGAGAGCUUCAUGGAGAUGUCCCUGGAGGAUUCCAGUUCCAUCCCCAGACACGUUAACAGACUUUUCCAGUAGCUGUAUUGGUUGUGAAUGCAUCCCAAUUCUUCAGGGCAAAUCAUACAUUAAACACAAUUGCUUUUAA